AACGAAGUAGCAAUACUUAGUGGCAGACGGGUGAGUAACAUGUAGGUAUCUGCCCUUUGGCCUGGAAUAACACGAGGAAACUUGUGCUAAUACCGGAUAAGUCUUUACGGAGAAAGCUUUAUGCACCAUUGGAUGAGCCUGCACUUGAUUAGUUUGUUGGUGGGGUAAUGGCCUACCAAGACUUUGAUCAAUAGCUGAUUUGAGAGGAUGAUCAGCCACAUUGGGACUGAGACACGGCCCAAACUCCUACGGGAGGCAGCAGUGGGGAAUCUUGCACAAUGGAGGAAACUCUGAUGCAGCGAUGCCGCGUGAGUGAAGAAGGCCCUUGGGUUGUAAAGCUCUUUCGUCGGGGAAGAAAAUGACUGUACCCGAAUAAGAAGGUCCGGCUAACUUCGUGCCAGCAGCCGCGGUAAUACGAAGGGACCUAGCGUAGUUCGGAAUUACUGGGCUUAAAGAGUUCGUAGGUGGUUGAAAAAGUUGGUGGUGAAAUCCCAGAGCUUAACUCUGGAACUGCCAUCAAAACUUUUCAGCUAGAGUAUGAUAGAGGAAAGCAGAAUUUCUAGUGUAGAGGUGAAAUUCGUAGAUAUUAGAAAGAAUACCAAUUGCGAAGGCAGCUUUCUGGAUCAUUACUGACACUGAGGAACGAAAGCAUGGGUAGCGAAGAGGA
rnacentral:rRNA from 1 species